AUACGGAGGGUGCAAGCGUUAAUCGGAAUUACUGGGCGUAAAGCGUACGUAGGCGGUUCGUUAAGUUAGAUGUGAAAGCCCCGGGCUUAACCUGGGAACUGCAUUUAAAACUGGCGAACUAGAGUUGAGCAGAGGGGAGUGGAAUUUCAGGUGUAGCGGUGAAAUGCGUAGAGAUCUGAAGGAACACCAGUGGCGAAGGCGACUCCCUGGACUCGAACUGACGCUGAGGUGCGAAAGCGUGGGUAGCAAACGGGAUUAGAAACCCUAGUAGUCC
rnacentral:rRNA from 1 species